rnacentral:rRNA from 1 species
ACUCAAAGGAAUAGACGGGGGCUCACACAAGCGGAGGAGCAUGUUGUUUAAUUCGAAGCAACGCGAAGAACCUUACCUAGGUUUGACAUGUACGAAGUAGGAGUCUGAAAGGACGACGAUCCGGGCAACCGGUAAACGUACACAGGUGCUGCAUGGCUGUCGUCAGCUCGUGUCGUGAGACGUUAGGUUAAGUCCUGUAACGAGCGAAACCCCUGUCGUCUGUUGCUACCGGGUCAUGCCGGGCACUCUGACGAGACUGCCGAUGUCAAAUCGGAGGAAGGUGGGGACGACGUCAAGUCAUCAUGGUCCUUACACCUAGGGCUACAAACGUGCUACAAUGGGCUGUACAGAGAGUUGCGAAAUCGCGAGAUAGAGCUAAUCUUCAAAACAGCCCCCAGUUCGGAUUGGAGGCUGCAAUUCGCCUCCAUGAAGCCGGAUUCGCUAGUAAUCGCGGAUCAGACACGCCGCGGUGAAUACGUUCCUGAGCCUUGUACACACCGCCCGU